CCGGUGGUAAAUUCACCCGUUUCAAACUAAUUCAAAUCCACUCCCCAUUUCAGGCACUCUGAUGUACGUUUUAAGCAAUAACAGUGUACAACUUUCUCAUUAUUAUUAUUAUUAUUGUUUAAAACAUGAAGCAGGCGUGCGCAAUACAAUGUUAAAAUGUCUGCGUGGUUUUACACGGCUGUAAUAUUCCGUGACGCUAACGACUGUUAUUAAUCGUUAUGCCACGGAAUGGUUGAAUUCUUCUCAUAUUUGGUUGGACAGAAGGUACGCAUGAUUUAUUUUUUUUUUAUUACCACAAGUACAGGUUCGUAUUAAUGCGCUCGUUCUAAUACGUUAGUGUUUCUAUAGCGACAGCUCGUGCACGGGGAUCGUAUAGUGGACACGCCACAUAAUCAAAGAUGAAUAAUAAAUGAAUUUGAUAAAAUGUGUGAUAGUUUAACAACGAAAUUCAUCUAAUGAGUCAGCACAUGGGCAACAAUAAUCCGAUAUGAACCCGAUUAAGACGAUACUCUGAUUAAGAAACUAGCAUGUAAACGGUGAUUAUUGAUGACCUUAAUCCGACUAAAGUCACACUCGAAGUAAACACAAAUGGAAUUAAGACGUGUGGAGUAUUCCUGUUUUAGUCGUGUUAUCGAAGUGCGUUACAGACACGUACACACCUUAAUCACACUGUUAACAUCGUGUAGAGUUUUCACCACAUUGUGCGACAGGACACGAUCACACAUGGCAGCGCUCAACCGUUUGACGGCAAGAGAGCACGGCUGCGUCCCAAACCGCGUACUUACCUACUAUAUAGUAGGUAAGUACACGUAUCUCGGCUACUAUAUAGUAGGUAAGUACACGUAUCUCGGCUACUAUAUAGUAGGUAAGUACACGUGUCUCGGCUACUAUAUAGCAGGUAAGUACACGGUUUGGGACGCAGCCCACAGCUUCAAGCAGUCGUCUAUUUACACGUACAGCGUGACAAAUAAUUAACCGCACUUGAAGCGUCCGUAGAAUUUAAAAUGAAACACCCGAAACUGUACACGGGACCAUAACGAAGACCGACUGUAUGUGGAC
ensembl:lncRNA